rnacentral:rRNA from 1 species
AUUGAACGCUGGCGGCAGGCCUAACACAUGCAAGUCGAGCGGAGCGGCGGACGGGGGAGUAAUGCCUAGGAAUCUGCCUGGUAGUGGGGGAUGACGUACGGAAACGGACGCUAAUACCACAUACUAUCAGAAGAGCCUAGGGCGGAUUAGCUAGUUGGUGGGGUAAAGGCCUACCAAGGCGACGAUCCGUAACUGGUCUGAGAGGCUGAUCAGUCACACUGGAACUGAGACACGGUCCAGACUCCUACGGUAGGCAGCAGUGGGGAAUAUUGGACAAUGGGCGAAAGCCUGAUCCAGCCAUGCCGCGUGUGUGAAGAAGGUCUUCGGAUUGUAAAGCACUUUAAGUUGGGAGGCGUUACCAACAGAAUAAGCACCGGCUAACUUCGUGCCAGCAGCCGCGGUAAUUC